rnacentral:rRNA from 1 species
AACGAACGCUGGCGGCAGGCCUAACACAUGCAAGUCGAACGCUCCAGCAAUGGAGAGUGGCAGACGGGUGAGUAACGCGUGGGAACCUUCCCUAUGGUUCGGAAUAGCCCAGGGAAACUUGGGGUAAUACCGAAUAAGCCCUUCGGGGGAAAGAUUUAUCGCCAUUGGAUGGGCCCGCGUCGGAUUAGCUAGUUGGUGGGGUAACGGCCUACCAAGGCGACGAUCCGUAGCUGGUCUGAGAGGAUGAUCAGCCACACUGGGACUGAGACACGGCCCAGACUCCUACGGGAGGCAGCAGUGGGGAAUAUUGGACAAUGGGCGCAAGCCUGAUCCAGCCAUGCCGCGUGAGUGACGAAGGCCUUAGGGUUGUAAAGCUCUUUUGGCGGGGAAGAUAAUGACGGUACCCGCAGAAUAAGCUCCGGCUAACUUCGUGCCAGCAGCCGCCGCGGUAA